AUUGAACGCUGGCGGCAGGCCUAACACAUGCAAGUCGAGCGAGCGGCGGACGGGUGAGGAAUGUUUUGGGAAUGCCCGCUAGUGGGGGAUAAUACUGGAAACGGUAGCUAAUACCGCAUACUAUCGGAUAGCCCAUAAGUGAUUAGCUAGUUGGUGAGGUAAUGGCUCACCAAGGCGACGAUCCCGAGCUGGUCUGCGAGGAUGAUCAGCCACACUGGGACUGAGACACGGCCCAGACUCCUACGGGAGGCAGCAGUGGGGAAUAUUGCACAAUGGGGGCAAGCCUGAUGCAGCCAUGCCGCGUGUAUGAAGAAGGCCCUAGGGUUGUAAAGUACUUUCAGUGGGAGGCGUUCCGACAGAAGAAGCACCGGCUAACUCCGUGCCAGCAGCCGCGGUAAUUC
rnacentral:rRNA from 1 species